UACGUAGGGGGCAAGCGUUGUCCGGAUUUAUUGGGCGUAAAGAGCGUGUAGGCGGCCAGAUAGGUCAGCUGUGAAAACUCGAGGCUCAACCUUGAGACGUCGGUUGAAACCAUCUGGCUAGAGUCCGGAAGAGGAGAGUGGAAUUCCGGGUGUAGUGGUGAAAUGCGUAGAUAUCCGGAGGAACCCCAGUGGCGAAAGCGGCCACCUGGACUGCCCCUGACGCUGACACGAGAAAGCAAGGGGAGCGAACGGG
rnacentral:rRNA from 1 species